rnacentral:rRNA from 1 species
GAUCCCAUCCCGAACUCAGCAGUGAAACGAUGCAUCGCCGAUGGUAGUGUGGGGUUUCCCCAUGUGAGAGUAGGUCAUCGUC